rnacentral:lncRNA from 1 species
GCUAACACAUUAUUAAUUCUGGGACAUAAUUUUGUACUUGACUUUAUUAUUAUUGAUUAAUAAAUGGGCAUUCUUUUCAUUCAUAUUGUUUAUGUGUCUAUGAAUCGUCCAAGGAAUUAAUAAGAUGAUGAUAUAUAUUCUCAAGAGUUGAGAAUUUGAGCCAUGUAUCAUUGGUGAUUAAUUUCUAAAUGCUCCUGAUCAAUGGAUCAUCACGAGAACGGUGAUCGAUCUGAUCAGUGCACACAUCGCUUUUCUUAUGGAUGGACGAGACUCGAGUCACAGUGUAGGGACACUGAAGUGAUAGUGCAGGUGCUUGCUAGAGAACAAGGGUACUGAGCGUGACCAAGACAAGAAGUCACUUGGAUGUCUAUCCACUCGUCAGUGACUUGCUUGAUGUUGCAGUAGUGUGACUGGUCCUUUGACCUGCAGUACUUCGGCUACUCACAGUGAGGUUAUUGUAGUUUGACUGCACAUACACAUGGUCUCUAGUCAUAUGGGUCCUUGUUGUGUAGAUUGGCUACAGUAGGUUCACUAUAGGAGUAGGGUAUACACUUACAUGGAAUCUAUCGACCUUGAUAGAUGAGGAGUGAUCCUAUGUGAUUUAUUAGACUGAGUUUUAAGACCUUGGCCAGGGCAGAAUAUAUAGUGGAAAAGAGUUUUCUACUCUCGAACUCAAGUCGAAUAAAUCUAGAUAUAUGACAGAC